GACGAACGCUGGCGGCGUGCUUAACACAUGCAAGUCGAGCGGUAAGGCCCUUUCGGGGUACACGAGCGGCGAACGGGUGAGUAACACGUGGGUGACCUGCCCUCAGCUCUGGGAUAAGCCUGGGAAACCGGGUCUAAUACUGGAUAUGACUCCAUGACGCAUGUUGUGGGGUGGAAAGCCUUGUGCGGCUGAGGAUGGGCCCGCGGCCUAUCAGCUUGUUGGUGGGGUGANGGCCUACCAAGGCGACGACGGGUAGCCGGCCUGAGAGGGCGACCGGCCACACUGGGACUGAGACACGGCCCAGACUCCUACGGGAGGCAGCAGGUGGGGAAUCUUGCGCAAGUGGGCGAAAGCCUGACGCAGCGACGCCGCGUGAGGGAUGACGGCCU
rnacentral:rRNA from 1 species